AAAGAUUAAUCAAUUUAUCAACUAAUCAAUUUAUUGUAUUGUGAUUAAUGUGUUGUGAUUAAAAAAAUAGAAAAUUGAUUGAUUAAUUAAUUGAUAAAUUGAUUCAUAAGUUAAUCAAUUUAUUAAUGUGAUGAAUUAAUAAAUUGGUCAAAGUUUUUUCUUGAAAAAAUAAUGUAACAUAAGAAUGAAUGUAAUGGAAUGUAAUGUACAUUAAUUAAUUAAUUCAUCAUUAAUUAAAAAAAAUAGAAAAUUGAUUCAUACAUUACAUACAUUAAUUAAUUCAUCACAUAACAUACAUUACAUUCAUUAUACUGAAAUUGUUUUUCUGUUAUUUAUUUUUUGUGUUGUGUAGUAAGUACUAAGUAGAAAAUGACAUUGGAAAGUAAUAGAAAAGAUCCGGCGUGGCAAUAUGCCCAUUUGGUGGAAAAGAAUAAUUUAAACAAGUUUGAGUGUAAUUUUUGUGGUAAAGUAUCAAACGGAGGUGUUUAUCGGGUGAAACAACACCUUGCGGGAGGUUAUAGGAAUGCUACUGCUUGCCCGAAGUGUCUUUCUCAUGUAAGAGAAGAGAUUAGAGAGUUCAUGUCCAAAAAAAAGACUAAAAAAAAAAUGAACAUGUUGCCUGAUUUUGAUGACAUGGACAUGGAAGAUGAAGAUGUUGUUGAGAUCAAUGUCAAUCAACACCACAAGUUGACAAGUAGUAGCCAAGGUUCAUCCAAAUCCAAAUCCAAAUCAAAAAUGCCAAAGAGAAAAUGGCCUAUUGAUGUUUACUUUACACCCAAUCCUGAAUCAGUGGUGAAAAAUCGAAGAGACCAAGCAAAAGGGAAACAAACAAAAAUUGAUGCAAAUGACCCUUACAAAAAAGAAAUGAGAGCUCGGGCACUGCAAAGAUUUGCAAGGUGGAUGUAUGAUGCUGGUAUCCCUUUCAAUGCAACAAAUUAUGAGAGUUUUGGACCAAUGAUUGCAGCCAUUGGCCAAUAUGGUCCUGGUAUGAAGCCACCGACUUACCAUGAAGUACGGGUUACCCAACUCAAAAAAGAAGUGAAACAUACUGAAGAUUUGAUGAAGUAUCAUAAAGAGGAUUGUGCAAAAUACGGGUGUUCCAUAAUGGCUGAUGGUUGGACUGGUAAGAGAGGAAGGACAUUGAUUAACUUCUUAGUUAAUUGUCCAAGAGGAACCAUGUUUGUUGAGUCGAUUGAUACUUCUAGCUAUUCAAAGGAUGGACAAUAGCUAUUUGAAUUACUAGACAAGUUUGUGGAGAAAGUUGGAAAAGAGAAUGUGGUGCAAGUUAUCACUGAUAGCGCUGCAGCUAAUGUGUUGGCGGGUAAGAAUAUUUCCUCAUUCCUUGCAUUAAAAUUGUUUACUCAUUGUUUUGUAUUUAAAAUUUAAAAACUUGAAAAUAAUAAUUCUUCAUUAUUGUUACAUUAUAGGGAGGUUUUUGGAAGAUAAGUAUGAACACAUGUAUUGGACACCAUGUGCUGCUCAUUGUUUGGACUUGAUAUUAGAAGAAAUUUUCAAGAUACCUAGACUGAAAAAGACAUUUGAAAGGGGUAUUGCAGUACAUGGCUACAUUUACAAUCGGCCUACGUUGCUAAACAUGAUGAGGCGCUAUACAAAUUUGAAGAAUUUGAUCAAGCCUGCAAAAACUAGAUUUGCAACCGCUUUUUUUACUUUGUCUAGGAUGCAUCAACAAAAAAACAAUUUGAGAAAGAUGGUCACCUCCGAAGACCGGACCUCAAGCAAAUGGGCAAAGUAGCCACAAGGUAAAAGAAUGGCACAAACUUUGUUGAUGCCUUCAUUUUGGAAUACUGUUGUGUUUGCCCUUAAGGUCUCAGGUCCUCUUGUCAAAGUGCUUAGAUUGGUUGAUAUCGAGAAGAAACCUUCCAUGAGAUACAUUUAUGAGGCAAUGGAUAGGGCAAAAGAAUGCAUUGCAAGUUCAUUUGAUCAUAAAGAAGAGAAGCAUAAUGAAAUCUUCGAAAUUAUUGACAAAAGAUGGGAUGUCCAAUUGCAUCGACCUUUACAUGCAGCUACGCAUUUUCUUAACCCAGAAUUCUUUUACCCAAAAGCGUUAGAGGUGCAAAGAGAUCAUAAAGUGAUGAAUGAGUUUUAUGAAUGCAUGCAAAGGUUGUCCCGGAUGUCACUGUUCAAGAUUUGAUCACUAAUGAGAUGAGUAUUUAUAUGAAGGCUGAGAGUCUUUUUAACAAGGCUGUUGCGAUUAGGCAAAGAAAUACAAGAGCACCAGCUGAUUGGUGGGCAUCAUAUGGUUCUUAUACUCCAAACUUGCAAACUUUUGCCAUAAAAGUCCUUAGCCUAACAUGUAGUUCAUCGGGUUGUGAACGAAAUUGGAGUGUAUUCGAACAUCUUCAUAGCAAGAAAAGAAAUAGAUUGGAACAACAACGUCUCAAUGAUUUAGUGUAUGUCAAAUACAAUAGAACAUUGAGAUUUAGGUAUGACAUGCGCAACACUCUUGAUCCCAUAUCUUUGCAAAAUAUUGAUGAAAGCAAUGAGUGGUUGCUUGGGAGGAUGGAUGGAUGGAGAAUCAGAUGAAGAUAAUGAGCCUAUGUUUGAUGAUGAUGAUGGCUUGACGUGAGCCACUGAUGCUAGAGCUUCUGGAGUAGAAAAAAGUAGCCAUGCAAGUAGAGCAACAAGUUCACGCUCAAAGGCACAACCGAUGAUAUCUAAAUCAUCAACAUUGACUCCACUUCAAUUAAUAGAUGAAGAGGAAGCGGGCUCAGAUGACACAGAGGAGGAAGAUGUUGAGGGAUACAAAUCAACUGAUGGAGAAGAAGAUGAUAGCUUGCUUGCCAUUGAUGUUGAGGAUAAUGAUUGACUGACACCGACCUAACCUACCCUUUCUUUUGAUAUUGAUGCUUUUAAGUGUUAAGACAUAUAUUAAUAUUUGUUGGAUAUUUAUGUUUUGGAUAUUUAGUGUUUAUGUUUUUAUUUUAUUGAAUGCGGAUUAUUUGAUCUUUGAAAAUUGAAAUGUUAUGUAAUAUGCACUUUCAUGGC